rnacentral:rRNA from 1 species
UAGGGAAUCUUCGGCAAUGGACGAAAGUCUGACCGAGCAACGCCGCGUGAGUGAAGAAGGUUUUCGGAUCGUAAAACUCUGUUGGUAGAGAAGAACGUUGGUGAGAGUGGAAAGCUCAUCAAGUGACGGUAACUACCCAGAAAGGGACGGCUAACUACGUGCCAGCAGCCGCGGUAAUACGUAGGUCCCGAGCGUUGUCCGGAUUUAUUGGGCGUAAAGCGAGCGCAGGUGGUUUAUUAAGUCUGGUGUAAAAGGCAGUGGCUCAACCAUUGUAUGCACUGGAAACUGGUAGACUUGAGUGCAGGAGAGGAGAGUGGAAUUCCAUGUGUAGCGGUGAAAUGCGUAGAUAUAUGGAGGAACACCGGUGGCGAAAAGCGGCUCUCUGGCCUGUAACUGACACUGAGGCUCGAAAGCGUGGGGAGCAAACAGGAUUAGAUACCCUGGUAGUCCACGCCGUAAACGAUGAGUGCUAGAUGUAGGGAGCUAUAAGUUCUCUGUAUCGCAGCUAACGCAAUAAGCACUCCGCCUGGGGAGUACGACCGCAAGGUUGAAAC